UUUCCGUAGGUGAACCUGCGGAAGGAUCAUUAACCUUUCAAAUCAGGGUGCGGCGCGGCCUCCAGGCAACUGGGUGGUUUCGCGCCGCAUUCCUGCAUCCUUUUUUUACGAGCACCUUUCGUUCUCCUUCGGCGGUGCAACCUGCCGCUGGAACUUAACAAAACCUUUUUUUUGCAUCUAGCAUUACCUGUUCUGAUACAAACAAUCGUUACAACUUUCAACAAUGGAUCUCUUGGCUCUGGCAUCGAUGAAGAACGCAGC
rnacentral:misc_RNA from 1 species